AUGGGCGUCGCCGGCGGCGAUGGCAGCACCAAGCCCUCCGCGGCCGCCAUGGACGUCGAGUCCUCGACGGCGGUCGUGGCGCAGCCGACCUCAGUGCUGAGGUCCGUGCUGCUGUCCUACGCGUACGUGGCCGUGUGGAUCAGCCUCAGCUUCACGGUGAUCGUGUACAACAAGUACAUCCUCGACCCCAAGAUGUACGACUGGCCCUUCCCCAUCUCGCUCACCAUGAUCCACAUGGCCUUCUGCGCCUCCCUCGCCGCCGCGCUCGUCCGCGUCUUCCGCUUCGUCGACCUCCCCGCCGACCCGCCCAUGACGCCCUCGCUCUACGUCGCCACCGUCGUCCCCAUCGGCGCGCUCUACGCGCUCUCCCUCUGGUUCUCCAACUCCGCCUACAUCUACCUCUCCGUCUCCUUCAUCCAGAUGCUCAAGGCGCUCAUGCCCGUCGCCGUCUACUCCCUCGCCAUCGCCUUCCGCACCGAGACCUUCCGCAGGGCCUCCAUGCUCAACAUGCUCGGCAUCUCCGCGGGGGUCGCCGUGGCGGCCUUCGGGGAGGCGCGCUUCGACGUCUUCGGCGUCACGCUCCAGCUCGCCGCCGUCGCCGCCGAGGCCACGCGCCUCGUGCUCAUCCAGAUACUGCUCACCUCCAGGGGCAUCAAGCUCAACCCCAUCACCUCGCUCUACUACAUCGCCCCCUGCUGCCUUCUCUUCCUCACCGUGCCGUGGACGUUCGUCGAGCUGCCGAGGCUGCAGGCGGCGGCCGCGGCCGGGAUCGUCCGGCCAGACGUGUUCGUUUUCGGGACCAAUUCGCUGUGCGCCUUCGCGCUGAACCUGGCGGUGUUCCUGCUGGUGGGGAAGACGUCGGCGCUGACCAUGAACGUGGCAGGGGUGGUCAAGGACUGGCUGCUCAUCGCCUUCUCAUGGUCGGUCAUCCAGGACACCGUGACACCGGUGAACCUCGCCGGCUACGCCAUUGCCUUCCUUGGCGUCGCCUACUACAACCACGCCAAGUUGCAGGCGCUAAAGGCAAAGGAGGCCGAGAGGAAGCAGGCUGCCGAGGCCGGUGCGCGACUUCUGACGCCGGAGAAGGAGGCAAAUGCGCGCAAGAACUGA
rnacentral:rRNA from 1 species